GGAGCAUACCUCCUGCGGCCAGCCCCUCUGGGGCUCUCACUGAACAGCACGGCCCUCUCCCCCGGAGGGAAGGCAGAGGGAACUGGGGCAGCUGGUAGAGGCGGGCCCGGGUACCAGGACUUUGUUUCAGUUCCCUCUGCCACCCCCAGGCCCCGUGAGCAUCUGCUUGCCAGAGGGCACAAAGGGUUAGUCAGGCAGUGGGGUGGGAAGCGGCCACCCGCCCACUGCCCAGCAGGGCCAAGAUUCUAGGGAGGCUGGGCAUGUCCAGUCCGCAGGAACCAUUCGUUCUGAGCUCAAAGUAGUAUCAGCUCCCUUCUUUGGCCUCUUGGCUCAGACCGAAGCCUCACAGGACUCCAGGCUGUCUUUUGGACAGAGGGUCUUCCAGGGAGCAUCAUGCCAGACUGGCCAGCUGGGUCCUUCCACCCCAGGCAAAGGGAGAAGAAUCCUUUCUCUUUGAAAAGUGGGAGAUUAAAAGGAAAAGAAUCGCGACAUCCAGAGAUUCAACCCCAAGCCAGGUGUCUGAUUUCUCAACUCCUCCUGCCAGCCUCAGCUCGCUGGCUGCUGGCCUGAUGGGGCAGAGAGCUGGCAUGGCUCAGGGAGAAGCUGAGGUUAGGGAGGGCCAUCCCAGGUGACCGGGCUGUCGCCAACAACAGAGCAGAUUCCUUUCAUCCCAGUGCACUCUCUCCUCUGGCGACUGCCUUAUCGCCUGACAGGGACCUCCCUCCCUCUGACUCUUCCGGGGCUCUGGCACCAUCUUUUGUCAGGGGGGCUGCUGCCUGUGUCUUCUCAGAGCCACCUGAGCCAUAGUAAACACUGUUACAUAACCGCUCUGUUUUUUUCUAGCUAUCUGAUCCUGGUUGGCCGUGUGCCCCGCCCCCACCCUGCCCCCUGAGGCGGCCACCUUUUGUUCCAUGGAUUAUCCCCCCACAGCCCCCAUGUCAACUGAGGUCUGUCCACGCCUGCCACACUCAGGGAUGAUUAGCCAAGAGACUACUGGUAGAUGUUAUGCUCUUUACAUGGAAGGGGAGAAGAGGGUGGGUGUUCAUACCGGAAUGUGGGUGGCUCUGAACAUCAGCCUCAGUCACCAAAAGAAAGGAUGACUGGAAAGAGCAUUUAAGUAGCUUUUUAAUGUAAGUGAAUAGGGUGAGUGGAGAAUUCAGUUUCGUUUCUCAAGUGAGAAAAAGUAAGCCAGGCAUCCCAGAAGACAUAAACCUGAACUCUCAGCAACGUGUGUAUCUGCCUGUGGCUGAUUCAUGUUGAUGUGUGGAAGCAACUGUGGAGCCUUGCCCCAAGGCCACAGGUGCGAGGCCUUGCACCAAGGCCACAGAAGUGGAGCCCAGAACAAAGGUCAUCUCUGAAGCUGACUGAGCCCCCUUGUAAUCUUGCCCAAAGUCCCCCUGAUCAUCACCAGCAAACUCCCUGACCCAUAUUAGGCAAAAAUGCCCACCCCAGUGCUCAUCCUAUAGCAUCCUAACCAAUCACCUAAGGCUGGCCUUUUGGCAGGAAUUUUGUCUUGAGGCUAUAAAAAUUGGCCACUAACCCACGAAAAGCACUGGUUCUCCCUGGUCUGUCAGGAGGUCGGCCCACUGCAUUUCCAAGUACCCACAUUAUCUCUGCUCUUUGUUCGUAAUAAACCCACUGCCUUCUGAAA